CUGUAGUGACACCCGUGGCGGGCCAGGCGCAUGCACGGUCACCAGGUGUAUGGUGUUUCCUCCGAAAACAAAAUUGUUUUUUUUUUGUGGAUGUGUAUAAUGUGUAUGUAUAAAUUGUUUAAUAGUAAUGUUUAAAAUGACUAAAUCGGGUAAUUUUGUAUAAAUGUAUUUAAAUUUACAUUGGGUCGCUUCUGGGGGGAUUCUGGUAAGAUGACGGCAAAGUCAGCUGAAUUCCGAUAGACAGAAAUGGCCCGAUGUACUUGGGACGAUUCUGGGCAGUCAUUCAUUUUGAUUCUGAGCCGAGUCUGACACCCGAUUCUGGGGAGAUUCAAACAGUUCGGGUCCCCCGGAAGAGGACCGUUUCUGGCCCGAUUCCUCAUUGCUAGCUGGGGAGCUACAAUCCAGCACAAGUAACCUAGGUGCCUUCUAGGACGCCUGGGAGGAGCUGCUUCCUCACAGGCUGAUGUUUAAGCAACUCCACCCAUUCUUCCCCAUCAGCCAAUCAAAUUCAAACAGCAAACGUGCGAUUGAGAAAGAACAACUAUUUUCCACUGUAGUGACCUUCACAGCUAGCUAACGUUAGCACAUCAAAAAGGAGAGGCUCGGGAACUGUCCGCGAGUGUUGGGAGGCUGGUAGCCAGCAUGGUUGAUUUGAAGAACAUUCAUGUGGUGGACACGGCAGCCUCCAAAGGGGCUUAUGCAAACUCGUUGAAUUUAAUUUCAGCCAAUUAUGGACUUCCAUGACCGGCCCCUUCCUUUGGCUGUCACGACUUCCGACAAAGUCGGCUCCUCUCCUUGUUCGGGCGGCGUUCGGCGAUCGACGUCACAGGCUUUCUAGCCAUCGCCGCUCCAUUUCUCAUAUAUCCAUUUGUUUUGUCUUGUUUCAUACACACCUGGUUUUCAUUCCAUAAUCACACUGCAUGUAUUUAGUCCUCUGUUCCCCUCCAUGUCUUUGUGUGUAAUUGUAUAUUGUUACGUUGAUAUUUGUCAGGCGCUGCACUUUUGUUAUGUACCGUGUUUUUGGCACUAGUAUAUUUUAUGUGCUGU